UGAGGAAUACAUCGGAAUCUACUUUUUCGUGGGGGAUAACGUAUGGAAACUUACGCUAAUACCGCAUACGACCUACGGGUGAAAGCAGGGGACCUUCGGGCCUUGCGCGAUUGAAUGAGCCGAUGUCGGAUUAGCUAGUUGGCGGGGUAAAGGCCCACCAAGGCGACGAUCCGUAGCUGGUCUGAGAGGAUGAUCAGCCACACUGGAACUGACACACGGUCCAGACUCCUACGGGAGGCAGCAUUGGGGAAUAUUGGACAAUGGGCGCAAGCCUGAUCCAGCCAUACCGCGUGGGUGAAGAAGGCCUUCAGGUUGUAAAGCCCUUUUGUUGGGAAAGAAAUCCAGCCGGCUAAUACCUGGUUGGGAUGACGGUACCCAAAGAAUAAGCACCGGCUAACUUCGUGCCAGCAGCCGC
rnacentral:rRNA from 1 species